UUGGGAAUUUAACUAGUAUAAAUACACAUGAGUAGUGGCCAAACUAAAUUCUGAGUAUGACCAAACGUGAAGGGUGAGAAAGUACAUAGUUUGUGUAUCAGUUUAAACUCUUAUAAGUUUGAGGUAUAUAAUUGUUGAAAAUAUGCUGCACAGACUUACGUUUUGACCUUUGAAAAAAAUAAAAGUGCUAAUAAACUUUCCGUUCUUGGAUACAAAUUCGUACGAAACUUCAGUGUAAAAAUGGUACAGUUAAAGCUGUAAAA
rnacentral:lncRNA from 1 species